AUUGAACGCUGGCGGCAGGCCUAACACAUGCAAGUCGAGCGGAUGAAGGGAGCUUGCUCCUGGAUUCAGCGGCGGACGGGUGAGUAAUGCCUAGGAAUCUGCCUGGUAGUGGGGGAUAACGUCCGGAAACGGGCGCUAAUACUGCAUACGUCCUGAGGGAGAAAGUGGGGGAUCUUCGGACCUCACGCUAUCAGAUGAGCCUAGGUCGGAUUAGCUAGUUGGUGGGGUAAAGGCCUACCAAGGCGACGAUCCGUAACUGGUCUGAGAGGAUGAUCAGUCACACUGGAACUGAGACACGGUCCAGACUCCUACGGGAGGCAGCAGUGGGGAAUAUUGGACAAUGGGCGAAAGCCUGAUCCAGCCAUGCCGCGUGUGUGAAGAAGGUCUUCGGAUUGUAAAGCACUUUAAGUUGGGAGGAAGGGCAGUAAGCUAAUACCUUGCUGUUUUGACGUUACCAACAGAAUAAGCACCGGCUAACUUCGUG
rnacentral:rRNA from 1 species